UACGAAGGGGGCUAGCGUUGUUCGGAAUCACUGGGCGUAAAGGGCGCGUAGGCGGCUUUUCAAGUCGGGGGUGAAAGCCUGUGGCUCAACCACAGAAUUGCCUUCGAUACUGUUAGGCUUGAGACCGGAAGAGGUGAGUGGAACUGCGAGUGUAGAGGUGAAAUUCGUAGAUAUUCGCAAGAACACCAGUGGCGAAGGCGGCUCAUUGGUCCGGUUCUGACGCUGAGGCGCGAAAGCGUGGGGAGCAAACAGG
rnacentral:rRNA from 1 species